UCUUUCUAUUUGCGUCCCAUUCUUUCGCUUUUCGCACGCCACUCUGUCCGUUGUUUUUUUUUAUUUUUUCAUUUAUUUUUUUUUUUGUUAAUUCAUUAUUGAGGCCAAUUGAAUUUGUGUGUGUGUUGUAUGUAUGUGUGUAAGUGUGUAUGUGUGUGUGUGUGUGUGCCUAGCAGCGUGCUUGAAUGAGUGACGCAGCGACGAAGAGACGGACGGACUGGCCUGCGCUGAGCGAACGAGGGCCUGGCAAGAGACUAUGCAACACGUUUAAAUAUGCGCAACCGACGACGCAGCCGACGGCCAAAACGAACGAACGAAACAGACGAAGAGGGUGAGGGAGAGGGAGACAGCAGAGCAGAGCAGAAAUACAAAAUACAAAAAAAAACAAACAGUAAAAUAAAAAAAAAAGACACUCUCACAGACACAACACUGAUGCAAAACUGUACAUGUAUGUGCUUGUGUACACAAGUAAUUUGGAAGAAGAAGAAGCAGCGACGGCGACGGCAGCAGAAGCAGCAGCUGAGCAGAGAGUUUGAUGACGUCGCCGGUGCUGCCAAAGUCUAACUGUUCGCGGCUGCCCUCGCUUCCCCCCUCCCCCCACACUAAUGCCCUCCCCCCUCCACUCAAGCCCCCAUACCACAAAACGCAUUUUUCUUUACGUAUUUUUUUCGCGUCUUUUUUUUUAUCGAUAAGUGCUAAACGUGUUGGUUCUUGUUGUUGUUUGGGUCAAGAGUUCGAAAAGGAAGAGUGAUCGACUUGUUUAAUACCCUAUAAUUGUGUGCUACCCUGGCUGGCGGCUGGGACGACUAGAGUUGCCAGACCAAUGUCAGCUGGCGAAGGACAAUGCAAUGGGAAACUACACAACAAAUACUGUUAACGGAGUUCGGCCGUUCUUCUUCAAUGCACUUUUGUGUUGAAUGGUGUGGGGAGGGGAGAGAGGGAUGGAGUUACUUGCAACAAAAGAAGCAACAAACGCGGGAUGUAAAGGAGGAGCUGAUAAAGGACGUACUUCCAAAAAGGGCUGAAAAUGCCCAGCUGGCUUGGCGGAGAAGCGCCAAAAAGAGAAAGGGGGAGGGAGCUCCCAUGCAAGAGCGAGAGAAAGCAAUAGGAGAGAAAGAGAAGCAGAAACUGCAGCAGAAGCGAAUGAAAGUGCAUAAAGCAAGUUGGGUAAAUUGUGCAACGGUGUUUGUUUGCAAGUGUAAGUGUGAGUAUCGGGAAAAUUGUAAAUGAUAAGCAAAAGAUGCGGAUGCUGAUAAUCAAGCUGGGGGAAGAGACAACAAAAAAACGAAGAAGAAGAAGAUAACUGAAAAACUAGCUGGUGAAAAGUUUAAAAAAACAUCUCCAUUAACCCAUUGAUGAUGGGUGUUAAAAUUUUUAUAAAUUAUAUAUUUAAGAAAUCUAAUCUUAAGUCUAUAACAAUAAAUAUAAAAUUAUUAAAAACAAU